GACCCGCUAGCUCAGAUGGUAGAGCAUUUGACUUUUAAUCAAAGGGCCCUGGGUUCGAGUCCCAGGCGGGUCACCA
rnacentral:tRNA from 2 species